AUUCAGGAGCAUCGAAAUAGGCAUAGGGACUGCCACAGUGGGGUUUUGCAGUCAGGCAGCUGGGGACAGAGAUUGGGCUCAACUCUGAAUACAGCAUGGACAAGUGAGAAUUUAUAGCCAAGGAGCAAGGUGGGGUCAGUGGAUGGAAAAUUACUAAGAUGAAAUAUCAGAGAUAAAGGGGGGAAUUGUGGCUAAGCCCAUCCAAUAGGAUUCUUGUUGCAGGCAGGCCAGGGUGACCAGACAUCACCUUGGGGAUAAUAGAGGCUAAAGAACUUUUAUUUUUUAUAUUUUUGAGGCAGAGUCUUGCUCUGUCACCCAGGCUGGAGUGCAGUGGCACGAUUUCAGCUCACUGCAACCUCCACCUCCUGAGUUCAAGUGAUUCUUCUGCCUCAGCCUCUCAAGUAGCUGUGAUUACAGGCGCCCACCACCACAUCCGGCUAAUUUUUGUAUUUUUAGUAGAAUGGGGUUUCACCAUGUUGGCCAGGCUGGUCUCGAACUUCCGAGCUCAAGUGGUCUGCGUGCCUCUGCCUCCCAAAGUGCUGGGAUUACAGGCCUGAGCCACCGUGCCUGGCCGAGGCUAAGGAACUUAAUUAGAUUAUGGAAGAUGAUCAGAUAUCGAAGGUGGGGGGCUCUGGUUAAACUGACUUAGAAGGAAUCUUGCUAAAAAGUCAGGCCUAGCUGAAAAAGUUCAGGAAAGUCUGAGUAGAGUUUGGUCAAGGAGAGAAUCUUUGUCAGGGGAG
rnacentral:lncRNA from 1 species